rnacentral:misc_RNA from 1 species
AAACUGCGAUAAAUAGCGUGAAUUGCAGACGCUUUGAACGUUAAAGUUUCGAACGCACAUUGCGCCGUCGGAUUCCUACCCGACGGCACAUCUGGUUGAGGGUCGUGAUCAUAAAAACAGCUUGCCUAUCGGCUGUUAGUAGAAGUAGUUGGCGAAUCACUAGUCUAGCCCACCUGCCUCGGGCCAGAAGUGUUUUGCCAUAAUGCUCCUAGAGGACGUUCCCCUUUACGGGGCGAACGCCUACCACACGGAUGAUCUAUUAGCCGACGCUAAAGAUUCCGGUCAUCGGGUAUCAUGCCUAUAUACUCGGUGGCGUCUGGAAUACGGCUAGUACGCUUCAUACGUGCCUGGUGAUGAGAGCUUUCGCUCUCCCGACCUCAACUCAGGUGUGAAUACCCGC